GCUGCAGUCCUUUGCCCCUCUCUCUCUCACUCCAUCAUACAAAGUUUUCCUCUCUCUCUGUUUGUCUAAAAGACACAAAGAUGGAUGGAGAAGCUCCUGGAAUGGGCCGCACAAUAGCUUAUGCCACAAGCCACCUCUCCCCAGCUGUGGCUGCCGUGGAGACUGAGCAAGAGGAAAUGUGAGGGCAACGGCAUGAUGGAAUACGUUUAUCCUCGGUUGUGUCACGGAGGCAGCAGUCUAAGCAGGGAUGCCCAGACUUCCUGAUCCACACAAACCUCAUCCAGGGAGAUCACAUUGUGACAUUUUUAAUUCUCAAGGUUAAGUAUAAUGUUAUCCCAACGUGAGAAAUUAUAUACUUUAGUUUUCUAAAAGCUUUCCACAACAAAUAGUAGUUAGUGUUCACGUCACGUAUCAUAAUGUAAUUCUAGAGGUCCAAUUUUUGCGGUUAAAAGCUCUGCUUUAUCCAUCAAAAAUUACUUUUAUGGGGCAUAGCUCGCAAUAUUGCAGACCAGUUAAUUUCAUUCAUCCCUGUCCUUGUCACUUUUUGCUCUGGAGUGCAGUCAUGCAACUUUACACAGUGUACAUUUUAGUCAGGCAUAAGAGCACCCAAAUGAUUUGCAUUGCAUUUAUUAUAUGGCUUGGAUACAGAAGCUUGGUAAGAGAAACCAAUUCAUUUAUGCUGCCUCUGCACUAGUUUUUAAGUAAUCUGAAGAACACAUCAAGCUUGCCUCUGCACCUUUGGUGGCAAUCUGUGACUUUG